rnacentral:rRNA from 1 species
AUGAACGCUAGCUACAGGCUUAACACAUGCAAGUCGAGGGGCAGCAUGGUCUUAGCUUGCUAAGGCCGAUGGCGACCGGCGCACGGGUGAGUAACACGUAUCCAACCUGCCGUCUACUCUUGGACAGCCUUCUGAAAGGAAGAUUAAUACAAGAUGGCAUCAUGAGUCCACAUGUUCACAUGAUUAAAGGUAUUCCGGUAGACGAUGGGGAUGCGUUCCAUUAGAUAGUAGGCGGGGUAACGGCCCACCUAGUCUUCGAUGGAUAGGGGUUCUGAGAGGAAGGUCCCCCACAUUGGAACUGAGACACGGUCCAAACUCCUACGGGAGGCAGCAGUGAGGAAUAUUGGUCAAUGGGCGAGAGCCUGAACCAGCCAAGUAGCGUGAAGGAUGACUGCCCUAUGGGUUGUAAACUUCUUUUAUAAAGGAAUAAAGUCGGGUAUGCAUACCCGUUUGCAUGUACUUUAUGAAUAAGGAUCGGCUAACUCCGUGCCAGCAGCCGCGGUAAUACGGAGGAUCCGAGCGUUAUCCGGAUUUAUUGGGUUUAAAGGGAGCGUAGAUGGAUGUUUAAGUCAGUUGUGAAAGUUUGCGGCUCAACCGUAAAAUUGCAGUUGAUACUGGAUAUCUUGAGUGCAGUUGAGGCAGGCGGAAUUCGUGGUGUAGCGGUGAAACGCUUAGAUAUCACGAAGAACUCCGAUUGCGAAGGCAGCCUGCUAAGCUGCAACUGACAUUGAGGCUCGAAAGUGUGGGUAUCAAACAGGAUUAGAUACCCUGGUAGUCCACACGGUAAACGAUGAAUACUCGCUGUUUGCGAUAUACUGCAAGCGGCCAAGCGAAAGCGUUAAGUAUUCCACCUGGGGAGUACGCCGGCAACGGUGAAACUCAAAGGAAUUGACGGGGGCCCGCACAAGCGGAGGAACAUGUGGUUUAAUUCGAUGAUACGCGAGGAACCUUACCCGGGCUUAAAUUGCAGAUGAAUUACGGUGAAAGCCGUAAGCCGCAAGGCAUCUGUGAAGGUGCUGCAUGGUUGUCGUCAGCUCGUGCCGUGAGGUGUCGGCUUAAGUGCCAUAACGAGCGCAACCCUUGUUGUCAGUUACUAACAGGUUCUGCUGAGGACUCUGACAAGACUGCCAUCGUAAGAUGUGAGGAAGGUGGGGAUGACGUCAAAUCAGCACGGCCCUUACGUCCGGGGCUACACACGUGUUACAAUGGGGGGUACAGAGGGCCGCUACCACGCGAGUGGAUGCCAAUCCCAAAAACCUCUCUCAGUUCGGACUGGAGUCUGCAACCCGGCUCCACGAAGCUGGAUUCGCUAGUAAUCGCGCGUCAGCCACGGCGCGGUGAAUACGUUCCCGGGCCUUGUACACACCGCCCGUCAAGCCAUGGGAGCCGGGGGUACCUGAAGUGCGUAACCGCGAGGAGCGCCCUAGGGUAAAACUGGUGACUGGGGCUAA